UUAAUAGUGAAGAAAUUAGGAUUGUGGAAUAUGGAGUCAGACUAUUUGUCAUUCUAAUUACUUCUCUUAACAGCUGUAUGAAAUUGAACAACUCAAUUUUGUCUCAAAAUCCUCAAAAGUGAGAAUGAUGAUAGUAACAGGACUUUUGUCCAUAGGCACACUGUGAUGUUAAAAUAAAGUCAACAAUUCUCAGUGAAAUGGAAUAGGAUAUGAACUUUCCCAUCAUCUACAAAUCAAGAUAGUAACUGUCUACAAAUCAAGACCAAAGAAAUGCUUCUAAAAAGCUUUUGAGGCAAUAAAAGCUCUUUAUAUUGACA